rnacentral:tRNA from 1 species
GCAUCAGUGGUUUAGUGGCAUAAUUACCGCUUGCCAUGCGGUAGACCCGAGUUCAAUUCUCGGCUGAUGCA